UACGUAGGGUGCAAGCGUUGUCCGGAAUUAUUGGGCGUAAAGAGCUCGUAGGCGGUUUGUCGCGUCUGCCGUGAAAGUCCGGGGCUCAACUCCGGAUCUGCGGUGGGUACGGGCAGACUAGAGUGAUGUAGGGGAGACUGGAAUUCCUGGUGUAGCGGUGAAAUGCGCAGAUAUCAGGAAGAACACCAACGGCGAAGGCAGCUCGCUGGGACGGAACUGACGCUGAGGCGCGAAAGCGUGGGGAGCGAACAGGAUUAG
rnacentral:rRNA from 1 species